rnacentral:rRNA from 1 species
CCUACGGGAGGCAGCAGUGGGGAAUCUUGCGCAAUGGGCGAAAGCCUGACGCAGCAACGCCGCGUGCGGGAAGAAGGCCUUCGGGUUGUAAACCGCUUUCAGCAGGAACGAAAAUGACGGUACCUGCAGAAGAAGGAGCGGCCAACUACGUGCCAGCAGCCGCGGUGACACGUAGGCUCCAAGCGUUGUCCGGAUUUAUUGGGCGUAAAGAGCUCGUAGGCGGUUCAGUAAGUCGGGUGUGAAAACUCUGGGCUCAACCCAGAGCCUGCAUUCGAAACUGCUGUGACUAGAGUUUGGUAGGGGAGCGGGGAAUUCCUAGUGUAGCGGUGAAAUGCGCAGAUAUUAGGAGGAACACCGGUGGCGAAAGCGCCGCUCUGGGCCAAUACUGACGCUGAGGAGCGAAAGCGUGGGUAGCAAACAGGAUUAGAUACCCUGGUAGUCCACGCCGUAAACGGUGGUCGGACACGUAGGUGGUACGGUUACCAACGUACGUAACGUCCGCGUCCGUCGUACGUACGACUAAGUUAGUCCGCCCCGUCCGGGUAGGGUACGGUCCGGGUCGACGUUAAACGACCUAAAACUUAAGUAGUAAGUACGGACCGGCGAGACGACGCGACCGACGACGACCGACGGAGGUAGGUAG